GGGUAGGUAUGCAAACUGGCUGAAGCAAGCGGUCUGUAAAACCGUGACAUUGGAAACACUGUUGGUUCAAAUCCAACCCUGCCCACCA
rnacentral:tRNA from 1 species